UUGUUUAUCAUUUCGAAAGUUAACGCCAUAUUUCAGCAACGCGAGAAGUCAUUGAGUAAUCUUUCACCAACCACAUCCAAAAUUUGCCUUCUCGAACCUAAUUUAUCAACUUUUAUAAUACAAUAAAAUGUUUUUUAUGAAUACACUAUACAGCCUACUAUACAAUACUUGGAAACAGCGAAAUAGGGCCCUUACAGAGCCGAGUGGACUAAUUUUCUGCAAUGUUCGGGACCCAAGAGGAUGAAUCUGACGAAUUCAACGGCAAACUUCGUUAAAGUCGAUAAUUCAUAUAUACUCUACAUGAAUUUAACGUUCCUGGAAACUGUCCACGUUGAUCAUAUAAAAGUAGACGUAUAUACAGUGAAAAAUAAAGUUAAAACUUUAUUAUGGCGUCACAAUGUUGAUGACCCGUGUAAAUACUUUGCUCUGGGAGAGGUGCUGUCCAAAUACUUUAGCGUGAACAAAAAUUGCAUGGUUAUUAAGGGCUACCAAAACAUCGUAGCAAAUAUGACGGAUAUGACAUACGCCUUUUAUGGGAAAUCGUUUUAUUAUGGCGAAUACAUAAUGAAAGGCGUAGCGUUUAGCAACAAAGGAAACCUUCUAUGCGUAAGCUUCAACAGCGUUUACAUUAAACUCUAAACUAAAUAAAUAAGUUCUAGAUUGUAAAUUUGUGCCUGGAGAAUGACGGUUUAGAAGCAGAUUAAAAUUACUCUGCUGCCGCCAUCGAAACUAUUACUUUUUACAAUAAAUAAAUAUUUACUAAUAUCAUUUUAUUUUUCAUUAACUAGCUGGAGGCAUCUUCUGUUCAUUACAAUAUAUAUAGAUGGCCAAAAUCAACCACUUGUACGACAGUGAAGUCUCUAUUUUAGAGUUUAAAAAUAUGCUAUAAUGAAAUAUGA